GUGUCUGUGGCGCAAUAGGUUAGGGUGUUCGGCUGUUAACUGAAAAAUUGGUGGUUCAAGCCCACUCAGGGACG
rfam:Danio rerio chromosome 4, GRCz11 reference primary assembly.